rnacentral:rRNA from 1 species
AUUGAACGCUGGCGGCAUGCCUAACACAUGCAAGUCGAACGGCAGCACAGUCUUCGCUCUCUCUUACGGUUGGCGACUGGCGGGUGAGUCAUGAAUACAUCCCCAUCUACUUUUUCUUGGCCGACAACGUAGGGAUUAUUACCCCAUUACCCCAUACGAUGUACGGGGGAAAGCAGGGGAUCUUCCGCUCUUGCGCGAUCCAAUGUGCCGAUGUCGGAUUAGCUAGUUGGCGGGGUAAAGGCCCACCAAGGCGACGAUCCGUAGCUGGUCUGAGAGGAUGAUCAGCCACACUGGAACUGAGACACGGUCCAGACUCCUACGGGAGGCAGCAGUGGGGAAUAUUGGACAAUGGGCGCAAGCCUGAUCCAGCCAUGCCGCGUGGGUGAAGAAGGCCUUCGGGUUGUAAAGCGCUUUUGUUGGGGAAGAAAAGCUGUGGGUUAAUACCCCGCUGUGAUGACGGUACCGAAAGAAUAAGCACCGGCUAACUACGUG